rnacentral:rRNA from 1 species
UACAGAGAGUGCAAGCGUUAAUCGGAUUUACUGGGCGUAAAGCGCGCGUAGGCGGCUAAUUAAGUCAAUGUGAAAUCCCCGAGCUUAACUUGGGAAUUGCAUUCGAUACUGGUUAGCUAGAGUGUGGGAGAGGAUGGUAGAAUUCCAGGUGUAGCGGUGAAAUGCGUAGAGAUCUGGAGGAAUACCGAUGGCGAAGGCAGCCAUCUGGCCUAACACUGACGCUGAGGUGCGAAAGCAUGGGGAGCGAACAGA